rnacentral:piRNA from 1 species
UGAUGUGAUAUGAGCGAAAACGCGUUUGG